rnacentral:ncRNA from 1 species
AACAACACUUUGAGAAGAAGAGUAACCUUGGCGCAGACGCUGUAGAAAGCCCGGUUGAUGGAAAAGGGUCAUCUGCAAGAAGGUGAAGAUGAGCUUCGAAUAGUUAUUCGUGCGGUUAACGUUCACGAGUCGGUUACGGCCGUUAUGCUGUCAGGUAUCAACAGGUACUGGAGACGAUGUAUCAACAUCGUGAAUAAGGGUGGUAACGCGACACUGUCGCCCCUUGA